AUUGAACGCUGGUGGCAGGCUUAACACAUGCAAGUCGAACGGUAACAGGAAUUAGCUUGCUAAUUUGCUGACGAGUGGCGGACGGGUGAGUAAUGCUUGGGAAUCUGGCUUAUGGAGGGGGAUAACUACGGGAAACUGUAGCUAAUACCGCGUAAAAUCUUCGGAUUAAAGGGUGGGACUUUCGAGCCACCUGCCAUAAGAUGAGCCCAAGUGGGAUUAGGUAGUUGGUUAGGUAAAGGCUGACCAAGCCGACGAUCUCUAGCUGGUCUGAGAGGAUGACCAGCCACACUGGAACUGAGACACGGUCCAGACUCCUACGGGAGGCAGCAGUGGGGAAUAUUGCACAAUGGGGGGAACCCUGAUGCAGCCAUGCCGCGUGAAUGAAGAAGGCCUUCGGGUUGUAAAGUUCUUUCGGUGACGAGGAAGGUUGAUAGGUUAAUAGCCUAUCAAAUUGACGUUAAUCACAGAAGAAGCACCGGCUAACUCCGU
rnacentral:rRNA from 1 species